GACGUAGGGCGCGAGCGUUGUCCGGAUUUAUUGGGCGUAAAGAGCUCGUAGGCGGCUUGUUGCGUCGGCUGUGAAAACCCAUGGCUCAACCGUGGGCUUGCAGCCGAUACGGGCAGGCUAGAGUUCGGUAGGGGAGACUGGAAUUCCUGGUGUAGCGGUGAAAUGCGCAGAUAUCAGGAGGAACACCGGUGGCGAAGGCGGGUCUCUGGGCCGAAACUGACGCUGAGGAGCGAAAGCGUGGGGAGCGAACAGG
rnacentral:rRNA from 1 species